rnacentral:rRNA from 1 species
GGUUAAGUUAGAAAGGGCGCACGGUGGAUGCCUUGGCACUAGGAGCCGAAGAAGGACGGGACUAACACCGAUAUGCUUUGGGGAGCUGUACGUAAGCGUUGAUCCAGAGAUUUCCGAAUGGGGGAACCCACUAUCUUUAGUCGGAUAGUAUCCUUACGUGAAUACAUAGCGUGAGGAAGGCAGACCCAGGGAACUGAAACAUCUAAGUACCUGGAGGAAGAGAAAGAAAAAUCGAUUUCCUGAGUAGCGGCGAGCGAAACGGAAAGAGCCCAAACCAAGAAGCUUGCUUCUUGGGGUUGUAGGACACUCUAUACGGAGUUACAAAAGAAAGUUAUAAAUGAAGCGGUCUGGAAAGGCCCGCCAAAGACGGUAACAGCCCGGUAGUUGAAAUGGCUUUCCCUCCAGAGUGGAUCCUGAGUACGGCGGAACACGUGAAAUUCCGUCGGAAUCCGGGAGGACCAUCUCCCAAGGCUAAAUACUCCCUAGUGACCGAUAGUGAACCAGUACCGUGAGGGAAAGGUGAAAAGCACCCCGGAAGGGGAGUGAAACAGUUCCUGAAACCGUGUGCCUACAAGUAGUUAGAGCCCGUUAAUGGGUGAUAGCGUGCCUUUUGUAGAAUGAACCGGCGAGUUACGAUUUGUUGCAAGGUUAAGCGGAAAAAGCGGAGCCGUAGCGAAAGCGAGUCUGAAUAGGGCGCAUAAGUAACAGGUCGUAGACCCGAAACCAGGUGAUCUACCCAUGUCCAGGAUGAAGGUAAGGUAAUACUUACUGGAGGUCCGAACCCACGCACGUUGAAAAGUGCGGGGAUGAGGUGUGGGUAGCGGAGAAAUUCCAAUCGAACUUGGAGAUAGCUGGUUCUCUCCGAAAUAGCUUUAGGGCUAGCCUCGAGGUAAAGAGUCAUGGAGGUAGAGCACUGUUUGGACUAGGGGCCCUUCUCGGGUUACCGAAUUCAGAUAAACUCCGAAUGCCAUGUACUUAUACUCGGGAGUCAGACUGCGAGUGAUAAGAUCCGUAGUCGAAAGGGAAACAGCCCAGACCACCAGUUAAGGUCCCCAAAUAUAUG